rnacentral:rRNA from 1 species
GAUGAACGCUGGCGGCGUGCUUAACACAUGCAAGUCGAACGAAGCACUUUUACAGAUUUCUUCGGAAUGAAGUUUUAGUGACUGAGUGGCGGACGGGUGAGUAACGCGUGGGUAACCUGCCUCACACAGGGGGAUAACAGUUGGAAACGACUGCUAAUACCGCAUAAGCGCACAGUACCGCAUGGUACGGUGUGAAAAACUCCGGUGGUGUGAGAUGGACACGCGUCUGAUUAGCUAGUUGGCAGGGCAACGGCCUACCAAGGCGACGAUCAGUAGCCGACCUGAGAGGGUGACCGGCCACAUUGGGACUGAGACACGGCCCAAACUCCUACGGGAGGCAGCAGUGGGGAAUAUUGCACAAUGGGGGAAACCCUGAUGCAGCGACGCCGCGUGAGCGAAGAAGUAGUUCGGUAUGUAAAGCUCUAUCAGCAGGGAAGAAGAAAUGACGGUACCUGACUAAGAAGCACCGGCUAAAUACGUGCCAGCAGCCGCCGCCG